AUUGAACGCUGGCGGCAGGCCUAACACAUGCAAGUCGAGCGGAGCGGCGGACGGGUGAGUAAUGCCUAGGAAUCUGCCUGUUAGUGGGGGCUAACGUCCGGAACCGGGCGCUAAUACCGCAUACUAUCAGAUGAGCCUCGGUCGGAUUAGCUAGUGGGUGGGGUAAAGGCCUACCAAGGCGACGAUCCGUAACUGGUCUGAGAGGAUGAUCAGUCACACUGGAACUGAGACACGGUCCAGACUCCUACGGGAGGCAGCAGUGGGGAAUAUUGGACAAUGGGCGAAAGCCUGAUCCAGCCAUGCCGCGUGUGUGAAGAAGGUCUUCGGAUUGUAAAGCACUUUAGGUAGGGAGGCGUUACCAACAGAAUAAGCACCGGCUAACUACGUGCCAGCCGCCGCGGUAAUUC
rnacentral:rRNA from 1 species